GACGAACGCUGGCGGCGUGCUUAACACAUGCAAGUCGAACGGAAAGGCCCUGCUUUUGUGGGGUGCUCGAGUGGCGAACGGGUGAGUAACACGUGAGUAACCUGCCCUUGACUUUGGGAUAACUUCAGGAAACUGGGGCUAAUACCGGAUAGGAGCUCCUGCUGCAUGGUGGGGGUUGGAAAGUUUCGGCGGUUGGGGAUGGACUCGCGGCUUAUCAGCUUGUUGGUGGGGUAGUGGCUUACCAAGGCUUUGACGGGUAGCCGGCCUGAGAGGGUGACCGGCCACAGUGGGACUGGGAUACGGCCCAGACGCCAUCGGGAGGCAGCGGUGGGGAAUAGUGCACAAUGGGCGGAAGCCGGAUGCAGCAACGCCGCGUGCGGGAUGACGGCCUUCGGGUUGGAAACCGCGUUCGCCUGUGACGAAGCGUGAGUGACGGAAUGGGUAAAGAAGCACCGGCUAACUACGUG
rnacentral:rRNA from 1 species